UACGGAGGAUCCGAGCGUUAUCCGGAUUUAUUGGGUUUAAAGGGAGCGUAGGUGGAUUGUUAAGUCAGUUGUGAAAGUUUGCGGCUCAACCGUAAAAUUGCAGUUGAAACUGGCAGUCUUGAGUACAGUAGAGGUGGGCGGAAUUCGUGGUGUAGCGGUGAAAUGCUUAGAUAUCACGAAGAACUCCGAUUGCGAAGGCAGCUCACUAGACUGGUUACUGACACUGAGGCUCGAAAGUGUGGGUAUCAAACAGG
rnacentral:rRNA from 1 species